AACGAACGCUGGCGGCAUGCCUAACACAUGCAAGUCGAACGAAACCUUCGGGUUUAGUGGCGCACGGGUGCGUAACGCGUGGGAACCUGCCCUUUGGUUCGGAAUAACUCCCCGAAAGGGGUGCUAAUACCGGAUAUUGUCUUCGGACCAAAGAUUUAUCGCCUUUGGAUGGGCCCGCGUUGGAUUAGCUAGUUGGUAGGGUAACAGCCUACCAAGGCGACGAUCCAUAGCUGGUCUGAGAGGAUGAUCAGCCACACUGGGACUGAGACACGGCCCAGACUCCUACGGGAGGCAGCAGUGGGGAAUAUUGGACAAUGGGCGAAAGCCUGACCCAGCAAUGCCGCGUGAGUGAUGAAGGCCUUAGGGUUGUAAAGCUCUUUUACCCGGGACGAUAAUGACAGUACCGGGAGAAUAAGCUCCGGCUAACUCCGUG
rnacentral:rRNA from 1 species